GUGUCUGUCCCAUCAAUUGGCGAUGGUCGGCGACCUGCCUACCACGGUGUUGACGGGUAACGGGGAAUCAGGGUUCGAUUCCGGAGAGGGAGCCUGCGAAACGGCUACCACCUCCAAGGAGGGCAGCAGGCGCGCAACUUACCCAAUCCCGACACGGGGAGGUAGUGACGAAAAAUAACGUGGCGGGGCCCUUUCGUGGUCGCCGCGGGCGGAAUGAGCGCAAUUUAAAAGAGUGUGCGAGGAGCUAUUGGAGGGCAAGCCUGGUGCCAGCAGCCGCGGUAAUUCCAGCUCCAAUAGCCUAUAUCGGAGUUGCUGCGGUUAAAAAGCUCGUCGUUGGAUCUCGGAGGCGGCACGGUCGGGCGCGAUACGCUGCGGGUCCGACCGGCGAUUUCUCGGCCGUCCCUAACCAGCGCGCGGGGCGAGGUGGACUUCGCGGUCCUGCCUCGUUUUUCUCCUUCACGGGAGAGAACCCGCCGCAUUUUCUGUCUACCUUGAAAAAAUUAGAGUGCUAAAGGCAGGCUAAAACCCCGAGCCUGAAUAUUUCGUGCAUGGAAUAAGCGGGGAUGCUCUUNUCCGGAGGGCGGUCCGACCGACUGGCGACGUCGCUUUCGCUGUCGGUUUCGCCGGAGAGCUAGGAUUCGAGAGGAACGGUGGGGGGCGAGCGUACCGGGCGGGGAGAGGUGAAAUUUUGUGAUCCGCUCGGGACGACUCGAAGCGAAAGCGCUGGCCCCGGACGUCUUCCUUAAUCCAGAACGAAGGUGGGUGGAGCAAAGACGAUCAGAUACCGUCGUAGUACCGACGGUAAACGCUGCCGACCGGGCCGCGGACGAGGCUCGAGAACAGCGGUUAUGGACCCGUCCGUGGCGGCUUCGGGCAACCUGAGAGUUUACGGGUUCCGGGGGUAGUAUGGUCGCAAGGCUGAAACUUGAAGGAAUUGACGGAAGGGCACCACAAGGAGUGGAGCCUGCGGCUUAAUUUGACUCAACACGGGGCAACUUACCCGGUCCGGACAUCGUCAGGAUUGACAGACGCUCGUGCAGUUCUUUCUCGAUUCGAUGGGUGGUGGUGCAUGGCCGUUCGUGGCUGGUGAAGUGAAAAGUCUGGUUUAUUCCGCUAACGGGCGAGGCCUCGCCCUUAACUAGUCGGCUCGUGGUUCUCGAAUCGUAGUCUCCCUUCGGGGAGCAGGGAGAACAUCGGGCGAGUCGCAGCGAUCGUCGCUACUUCUUAGGGGGAUCCCGAGCAAGCUUAAGCUAGGUGAGAGAGAUCAAUAACAGGUCAGUGAUGCCCUUAGAUGUCCGGGGCCGCACGCGCGCUACACUGAAGACGAAAGCGCGAGUGCUA
rnacentral:ncRNA from 1 species